AGUGAACGCUGGCGGUAGGCCUAACACAUGCAAGUCGAACGGCAGCACAGAGGAGCUUGCUCCUUGGGUGGCGAGUGGCGGACGGGUGAGGAAUACAUCGGAAUCUACUCUGUCGUGGGGGAUAACGUAGGGAAACUUACGCUAAUACCGCAUACGACCUACGGGUGAAAGCAGGGGACCUUCGGGCCUUGCGCGAUUGAAUGAGCCGAUGUCGGAUUAGCUAGUUGGCGGGGUAAAGGCCCACCAAGGCGACGAUCCGUAGCUGGUCUGGGAGGAUGAUCAGCCACACUGGAACUGAGACACGGUCCAGACUCCUACGGGAGGCAGCAGUGGGGAAUAUUGGACAAUGGGCGCAAGCCUGAUACAGCCAUACCGCGUGGGUGAAGAAGGCCUUCGGGUUGUAAAGCCCUUUUGUUGGGAAAGAAAUCCAGCUGGCUAAUACCCGGUUGGGAUGACGGUUCCCAAAGAAUAAGCACCGGCUAACUUCGUGCCAGCCGCCGCCGUAA
rnacentral:rRNA from 1 species